rnacentral:rRNA from 1 species
GAUGAACGCUGGCGGCGUGCCUAAUACAUGCAAGUCGAGCGAAUGGAUUAAGAGCUUGCUCCUAUGAAGUUAGCGGCGGACGGGUGAGUAACACGUGGGUAACCUGCCCAUAAGACUGGGAUAACUCCGGGAAACCGGGGCCAAUACCGGAUAACAUUUUGAACCGCAUGGUUCGAAAUUGAAAGGCGGCUUCGGCUGUCACUUAUGGAUGGACCCGCGUCGCAUUAGCUAGUUGGUGAGGUAACGGCUCACCAAGGCAACGAUGCGUAGCCGACCUGAGGGGGUGAUCGGCCACACUGGGACUGAGACACGGCCCAGACUCCUACGGGAGGCAGCAGUAGGGAAUCUUCCGCAAUGGACGAAAGUCUGACGGAGCAACGCCGCGUGAGUGAUGAAGGCUUUCGGGUCGUAAAACUCUGUUGUUAGGGAAGAACAAGUGCUAGUUGAAUAAGCUGGCACCUUGACGGUACCUAACCAGAAAGCCACGGCUAACUACGUGCCAGCCGCCGCCGUAA